rnacentral:piRNA from 1 species
UGUGGGCUGUGGUCUUGUGAUGUCCUCAAC